GUCGUCGUUUCUUCUCUUAAGCUAAAGCGGUGGGCAAACUCCGGUUCAAGGGUAGAAAACUGGCAGACUGACACGUAUUUCGUGAGUCAACAUUAUUCAAGGGUGCCAGGAUCUCAAAACCAGAUAAAUCUGAACCGUUCAUUAAUUGGAGCCCACGUUAUGAAUGGUAUAGAUCUACUUAAGAUGAAGGUACGAUUUCUUCCUCUAUAGAUCACCCAGCGGCUUCUGAGGGCAUAAAAGUAAAUUCACAAGCUCGAGCUGGGUUUAAGAGACUGUACAUACUACAAACUGCAUAGUAAACGCAAGGGUUAGCGUUAAUGGCAGAUACUCAUCAAUCGACGAUUCGGCCGUGGUUUCUCGAUCUCGUGCCUCUCGUGGUUGUUCUUCUGAUUGUUGCACAUGUCCUUGCUAUGGUUUACUGGAUUUACAGGUUAGCGAUUGAGAAGCAGCCACAGAGAAUGAAGAGACAUUAGAUGAUGGAGUAGGCAUGAAAUCACUUUGAGUUUGGGAGUUUACAUACGUAUUGUAAAGCAGUUUGAAUCUUAAAUUCUUUUAUGACUGUUAAGUUAGUUUUCAUCUACCUGAGAUAAUCUUCCAAUCUGGAUCGGCACAUUAUUAUUUAUUUUUUUUCCAUUUCAGGGUCUCUUUUGCUGAUUCUUCUUUGUUCAAUUUUAAUGAGGUGGUGUGAUCAUUCACCUCCGGAGAUUUCAGUGUUUCCUUCUUAUUAUUGCUAUAUAUAUAUGAGGACAUAGGGUGUGUAUUUGUUGA